GAUGAACGCUGACGGCGUGCCUAAUACAUGCCAGUCGAGCGAACGGACGAGAAGCUUGCUUCUCUGAUGUUAGCGGCGGACGGGUGAGUAACACGUGGAUAACCUACCUAUAAGACUGGGAUAACUUCGGGAAACCGGAGCUAAUACCGGAUAAUAUUUUGAACCGCAUGGUUCAAAAGUGAAAGACGGUCUUGCUGUCACUUAUAGAUGGAUCCGCGCUGCAUUAGCUAGUUGGUAAGGUAACGGCUUACCAAGGCAACGAUGCAUAGCCGACCUGAGAGGGUGAUCGGCCACACUGGAACUGAGACACGGUCCAGACUCCUACGGGAGGCAGCAGUAGGGAAUCUUCCGCAAUGGGCGAAAGCCUGACGGAGCAACGCCGCGUGAGUGGUGAAGGUCUUCGGAUCGUAAAACUCUGUUAUUAGGGAAGAACAUAUGUGUAAGUAACUGUGCACAUCUUGACGGUACCUAAUCAGAAAGCCACGGCUAACUACGUG
rnacentral:rRNA from 1 species